rnacentral:pre_miRNA from 1 species
CAUAUACUCCCUCCGUUCCAAAAUUCUUGUCUUACAUUUGUGUAGAUACGAAUGUAUCUAGUCACAUUUUAGUAUUCAGAUACAUCCAUUUGUAGACAAAUUUAAGACAAGAAUUUUGGACCGGAGGGAGUAUUAG